GGACCCGCACAAGCGGUGGAGCAUGUGGUUUAAUUCGAUGCAACGCGAAAAACCUUACCUACACUUGACAUACUUGGAAUCUUUUGUAAUGAAAGAGUGCCUUUUGGAGCCAAGAUACAGGUGCUGCAUGGCUGUCGUCAGCUCGUGUCGUGAGAUGUUGGGUUAAGUCCCAUAACGAGCGCAACCCUUACCCUUAUUUGCCAGCGAUUCGGUCGGGAACUAUAAGGGGACUGCCGGUGAUAAACCGGAGGAAGGUGAGGACGACGUCAAGUCAUCAUGGCCCUUACGUGUAGGGCUACACACGUGCUACAAUGGGGAGUACAGACGGCUGCUAACCCGCGAGGGGGAGCUAAUCCGACAAAACUUGUCGUAGUCCGGAUCGAAGUCUGCAACUCGACUUCGUGAAGUCGGAAUC
rnacentral:rRNA from 1 species